rnacentral:tRNA from 1 species
GCCGGAGUGGCGGAACUGGCAGACGCACAGGACUUAAAAUCCUGGGGUUUGAAUAAAACCGUGCCGGUUCGAGUCCGGCCUCCGGCA